NGGGGAUCACACAACAAUGUGAGGUUACCAUUGGGGUUCUGUGUUACCGCAAAGUUGAAAAGAAAAAUGGAACAUUGUAUUUUAGGGUGAAGGACAACUUUGUGGUGACCUGACCAGAAAGCCAAAAGGAAGUAUAAAUUAUUUUUUCACUAGUGUGUUGGGACAGGAAUACUAUUUGGUAAGCUUCACCAAAGAAAAAUUGAGUGGAAGUAAAGGUGUGUGUGUAUUUAUGUAAAGGAGACUCACAACACAUUUCAACCAGCAAUGGUGAUUAAUAGCUUAGUUAGUUUUUCUUGUGUGUAUGCUAAAGAUCCCCUUCCAUCUACCAACUUGUUUGUUUUUGUAACCAAACACAUUUUCAAAUAUAAGGAACCUUAAAAAAAAGUCACAUUGGGUAUCUUCAGUAUGAAUGAGUGAAAGCCGCCCCUCACCCUCCCACCCUUAGUGGUUUAUUCUCAGAUCUUCCUGGUCUUUUAAGCAGAAAAACAAGUGGUAUCAUUACCUUUUGGAAACUGAGCCUUAAAUAUUUUUAAAGGGGGGAAAUAAGCAUUCCCUAACUCAAAUAGCAUAAGCAAUGUUGAAUAGCAAUAUAAUACCACUGUAAACUCUUGAGUAUUAUCUCUCCUGGUAACCUUGUACAGAAUGUGAACUGUCUUACCAUGAACAUAAAUAAAUUUUAUAUUUUUAAACAUAUG
rnacentral:lncRNA from 1 species